rnacentral:rRNA from 1 species
CAGUCGCCGCGGUAAUGCAGAGGAUGCAAGCGUUAUCCGGAAUUAUUGGGCGUAAAGGGCUCGCAGGCGGUUUCUUAAGUCUGAUGUGAAAGCCCCCGGCUCAACCGGGGAGGGUCAUUGGAAACUGGGAAACUUGAGUGCAGAAGAGGAGAGUGGAAUUCCACGUGUAGCGGUGAAAUGCGUAGAGAUGUGGAGGAACACCAGUGGCGAAGGCGACUCUCUGGUCUGUAACUGACGCUGAGGAGCGAAAGCGUGGGGAGCGAACAGGAUUAGAUACCCCAGUAGUCCCUGUCUCUUAUAC